UGGUGGUUGCAGAAGGACUCAAAUACAAACUGGAAAAGCCAAGACGGAGGGCUGCUCGGAGCUAUUAUUCGCUAGGUGAGGUUAGCUUGUAGAAUGCAAACAGACUUCAAUUCUAGUGGUUCUGUAACCAGGGGCAGCUCAGCUAACCUCUCUCAGUUUGUUUCUUUUUAUGGGAACAGCAACCAUCCCAGAGCAUUUCUGUAGGAACUAAAAAUAAUACAUGAAGAAGUUCUCAAUGUAAAUGGUCUUUAUUCAUUCAUUUUGCACUUGAUAUUAAUAAAUAUUUAUUUACACCUUUAGAUUAGGCACCAGGCUCCCAUGUGCUAGUGAAGGAGGAAGGCGUGACUUCUCAUUUAGAAAUUUUACCAUAAUGGAGGAGAAUGUUAUAUAACUGUUAGUUGCCCACUGCGAUGGUUAAACUGUCUACUUGAUUGGAUUGAAGGACGCAAAGUAUUGAUCCUGGGUGUGUCUGUGAGGGUGUUGCCAAAAGAGAUCGACAUUUGAGUCAGUGGGCUGGAGAAGACGGACCCACCCUUAAUCUGGCGGACACAAUCUAAUCAGCUGCUAGUGAAUAUAAAGCAGGCAGAAAAACUUGAAAAGGCGAGAUUGUCCUAGCCUCCCAGCCUACAUCUUUCUCCCGUGCUGGAUGCUUCCUGCCCUCAAACAUUGGAUUUCAAGUUCUUUAGUUUUGAGACUUGGACUGGCUCUCCUUCCUCCUCAAGCUUGCAGACGGCCUAUUGUGGGAUCUUCUGAUGAUGAGGUAACUGAAAUGUUGUGUGAACCAGAUCUGGCUAAUGAGGAGAGGAGCUUCUGAGGCACAGAGCUGAUGGGCAGCAUGGCUUGGCCCCCACAGCUAUGGCACAGGGAGCAGGGUCAUCAAAAUCCACUCUGCUCUUCCAGAAGCUGCAGAGAGAGGGAACCCUAAAACCUGACAUGCCAGAAAAGAUUGCACUGAAGCUGAGAGAUGUGUAGUCCUAGACUAGAAGAAGAGAUUCAGCUGAGACCAAGGGCUCAGUUGCAGAAAGAAGUGACCACGAGGCUGUGAAAUCCUAAUAAUAAACUGAAAUCCCUGAAAGACUACUGGACUCCUAGAAAUCGAAACCAGUCUUAUAUAGUGAAAUCUCAAAGAAAAGGCCGAACCAAGGUGACAGCAAGGUUACACCACAGACUUAGCUCCCUGCACAACCCCCUGACCAGUCCCCAGUAACCAGCAUUCUACUCUGCUUGUGAGUAUGACUUCUUUAGAUUCUACAUAUAAGUGAGACCAUGAGGUAUUAGUCUUUCUGUG
rnacentral:lncRNA from 10 species